AAACUGCAAAAAAAGGGGGUAAUAUAAUCACACAUGCAUUAGAUCUGUAUUUUUUCUAAACAAUCAUGCAAAAUUUAACAGAGAUUAGGUAAAAAAAAACACUGUAAUAUUUAUAAAGCUUCAAAACCCAGUGUUGAAUAAAAAAUUGCAAUUAUAACCACUAGAUGUCACCGGAAGACCACUAAUGAGCUCACUAAAGACUAAAACAUUACAGUUUAUGGGCUUGUUGAGGGAUUCAUCUAGAAAAAAUGUAUAUUACUAUUAUUUAAUAUUACUGUUCAAGCAUUUCAGAUCACACUGAGUCAAAGUUUACCAAUUCAUUCAUACAGAUAUAUCUAAUGUUUAUAAUUAUGCCAGAUUAUGAUUGCAAUGAAACCUGAAAAAUGACAUAGAAGCCCAUAAAAACAGAAGACGUGCAAUAGGUUUUAUCACCCAUUAUUUAUUUUAAUUAUCUAUAUAUAUAACAAAAUGUGUGCAUCUGUGUGUGAGUUUAAGCAUGCUUAUUGAGUAUUAAUAUACUAGUUUAAACAUUUCAUGUUUGUGUGUGUCUGUAAUUCUGUCCUAUUCUUUUACUGUCAGCCAUAUCUAGGUUAUUUAAAAUCAGUGCAGUACUAUUAUCUAGACUGUGAAAUUAUACAUAAAUUGCGUAUGCUUCUUUGGAAUGAAAUUAAGACAACAUAUAACAGUUAUAAAGGUUAAAGAGACAGUGUUGUAUGAUAAAUUGCAUUUACGACCACUAGAUGUCACUGGAAGACCACUAAUGGGCUUUGCAGAGAUAUAGCCUCAGACUCAUUUUGUGAAGAUGCCUGACAUCUGAAGCAGCGCUGUACAAAAACGGUUUCGUCUAUUGACACGAAAUCCAUAACUUUUUGUCAGCACGGUCUGAAGAUGAUCUGAUUCAAUUUUGGUGAAAAUCAGACAAACGGUUGAGGAUGAGUUUAAAAAAAAAGGUUUUCAACAUGAAUCAAAAUGGCGGACAGGAAGUUUUGCUUAAUAUGACAUAAUUGGUAUGUAUGUUGUCGGCAUGUCCCAAGGAACAUUUUGAGACAUGUUUCAUGAUAAUAGGCUAAUGCAAUCAAAAGUUAUUAGCAUUAUUGUAAAUGUAAUAAUUAGCGGUUAUUGAUUGGUUUAUUACUCUUGACCAAUAGGUGGCGCUGUGACCAAAAUGAUGUGGCGUGGUCAAUGUGAUGUGACAAUGUCACAUAUUAAGUUUUGUGUAAAUAUCUCCAACCUUUGCAGAGAUACAGCCUCAGAUGCAGUUUGGCAUCUUUCCAGCAAAUUCGUUGGUACGCUAAUUGAAAACGGUUACGUGUAUCGACACAAAUUCCAUAACUUUUUGCCAGCAUGGUCUGAAGAUGAUCCAAAUCAAAUUUGGUGAAAAUCUGAGCAACGGUCUAGGAGGAGUUCGAAAAAGUAGGUUUUCAACAUGAAUCAAAAUGGCGGACAGGAAAUUUUGCCAAAAUUGACAAAUGGGGUAUCGGUGUUCUCGGCAUGACCCAAGGAAUCUAUCAACAUCAGCUUUGUUACAAUAGGCUAAUGUAUGCAAAAGUUAUUAGCAUUUUUCAAAAAAAUCGUUAUAACUAUUGACCACAAGGUGGCGCUGCCCCCAAUUUUUUUGUGUACAUUCAGGGCAUGGAGCCGGACAUUUUUGUAAUUAUUUGCGAAACGAUACGGAACUUCAUUCUUAAGAUACAGCAAUUUACAACUAAAUCCAAAAUGGCCGACGCCCAAAAUGGCCGAAUUGGGAAAAUUCGGUAUCAUUCGACUCGGAAUGAUGCACUGAAUCUAAAGACACCACUUUUGUGAUUUUUGGCAAAACCGUUCAGAAGUUAUGAGCAAAAACAUGCAUUUUUCAUAUCUCCUGACCACUAGGGGGCACAGCGCCGAAACACUGCAGGUAGUCCCAGGGAAUGGUUGUUAUGAGACCCACCAAGAUUGGUCUCAAUAGGCCAAACCGUUGCGGAGAUAUAGCCUCACGUUCACGUUUGCGUGCUUUUCGAAGAAUUCGUUCAUGAGCUAUUCGGAAACGGUUUGAGAAAUCAACUUGAUUUCCAUAACUUUUUGUCAGCAUGGUCUGAAGAUUAUCUGAUUCAAUUUUCGUGACAAUCGGUGCAACGGCCUAGGACGAGUUCGAAAAAGUAGGUUUUACGAACAAUUGACGAUAGCGAAAAAACUAAGCCUUGCGAUUUUUGAAUUUCGGUGUCCAUUCGACUCGGCAUGAGCCAAGGAAUCACAGGAAAAAAGAAUUUUCAUUUUGUGGCUUACGGUUCAAGAGUUAUUAGCAUCAAGUUUUUGAAAGUUUAGACAAUUGGUGGCGCUAGAGAGUUUGAGUUAGAGACUUCAAAUUUGCUACGGUUAAUGUUCAGACAGUCCUCUAUUAGUGUGCCAAAUUAUACAACUUUCCCGCAAUCGGUUCUAUGGGCUACCAUAGACUUGGGGUGGAAGAAGAAGAAUAAUAAUAAUAACGCCAACAAACACAAUAGGUGCCUUCGCACCUUCGGUGCUUGGCCCCUAAAUAUAGCUGCAAGCAGCAAUUACGGGGCCAAGCACUCCAACGGCAAAUGUAGGAGCUAAGCAUGGCAUGGAGCAUCACACCAAAUGCAUUAAUGAGCAAUAACAGCAAUUUUAGGAUUAUUGUAAUUGAAAUGGCUAAAAAAAUCAUAAAUACAACCUCUAGUAGCAUGAUUUACUGGCUUAUCAAAAUUGACCAAUAGGUGGUGCUGUUAUCAAGUCAAUUUGGUGUACUCUGUGUGACUUUUCAAUGACACAAACAAAGUUUGGUGUCAAUAUGCCAAAGCAUUGCAGAGAUACAGCCUCAAGUGUCAUUUUGUCAUUAUGCCUCAAGUUCGUCGCUGUGGUAUGCAAAAACGGUUUUGUCUAUCGACACAAAAUUCAUAACUUUUUGUCAGCACAGUCUGAAGAUCAUCUGAUUAAAUUUUGGUGAAAAUUGGACUAACGGCUGAUGAGGAGUUCAAAAAGUAGGUUUUCAACAUAAAUCAAAAUGGCGGACCGGAAGUUCAGCUUAAUCUGGCAUAUUUGGUAUCUAUGUUUUCGGCAUAAACCAGGGAAUAUUUUGAGACCAGUUUCGUUGCAAUAGGCUAAUGCAUUAAAAAGUUAUUAGCAUUUUUAUAAGUGUAAUUAUUCAUGGGAAAUGAAUGGUUUAUUACUCUUGACCAAUAGGUGGCGCUGUUACCAAAUUUAUGUGGCAUGGUCAGUGUGAGGUAGCGAUGACACGUACAAAGUUUGGUGUAAAUAUGUCAAAGCGUUGCAGAGAUACAGCCUCAAAUGCAUUUUGGCACCCUUCCAACAAAUUCGUUGAUGCGCUUAAUGAGAACCGUUUCAUAUAUCGACACGAAAUCCAUAACUUUUUGCCAGCAUGGUCUGAAGAUGAUACACAUCAAAUUUGGUGAAAAUCGGACUAACGGUCUAGGAGGAGUUCGAAAAAGUAGGUUUUCAACAUUAAUCAAAAUGGCGGACAGGAAGUAUGGCCAAUAUUCGCAUAAUUGGUAUCAAUGCUCUCGGCUUUACCCACAGAAUAUAGGGAGGCCAUUUUAAUUUUAAUAGUCUAAUUUAUUCAAAAGUUAUUAGCAUUUAUGGGAUAUUUCAUUAUAACUAUUGGCCACAAGGUGGCGCUGCCACCAAACUUUUUGAGUAUCUUCAGGGCAUGGAGCCAAAUAUUUUUGUAAUUAUUUGCGAAACGAUACGAUGAUGCGUUCAAAAAA